rnacentral:lncRNA from 10 species
UCUUUGUGAGGGCAAGUAUAGGUUGCACUGAUCCUGACCUUUUGGCCUGAGGAUGGAAGUCUUCAGUAUCUGUACAACUUUACUCCCAAGAGCUGGUGUAGAAUGAGUUCCUCUGGCCAUGGGAGGAUCGCAGAGGGGCACCUGCCACCAGCAGCCCAGCCUCAGCACUUUUCUCUUCAGCGUCUUCUUCAAGGUAUUUCCAGUUGCCCGCCCUGAACUGUUUCAGAAUGAGGAGGACACCUGGAGGAAUCUACACGUGCAUAGACCAAUUUGCAAAAGAACCUGUGAGCCAACAUUAUUACCUCAGCUGGAAGAAUUAAUAAGCAACACGUUCACCCAAGAAGUAUUUACUGAGCACCUACUAUGUGCAUUAUUUUCUGGUGUUGG